rnacentral:ncRNA from 1 species
GGAAGCUGGGUGCGGUGAAAGUCGCACGCCCAGAUUUAAAAGAGAGGGGCGAGGCAUAAUAGCCUCCCUCGACUCUAC